AACGAACGCUGGCGGCAGGCUUAACACAUGCAAGUCGAGCGCCCCGCAAGGGGAGCGGCAGACGGGUGAGUAACGCGUGGGAAUCUACCCAGCUCUACGGAACAACUCCGGGAAACUGGAGCUAAUACCGUAUACGUCCUUCGGGAGAAAGAUUUAUCGGAGUUGGAUGAGCCCGCGUUGGAUUAGCUAGUUGGUGGGGUAAUGGCCUACCAAGGCGACGAUCCAUAGCUGGCCUGAGAGGAUGAUCAGCCACACUGGGACUGAGACACGGCCCAGACUCCUACGGGAGGCAGCAGUGGGGAAUAUUGGACAAUGGGCGAAAGCCUGAUCCAGCCAUGCCGCGUGAGUGAUGAAGGCCCUAGGGUUGUAAAGCUCUUUCACCGGUGAAGAUAAUGACGGUAACCGGAGAAGAAGCCCCGGCUAACUUCGUGCCAGCCGCCGCAGUAAGAC
rnacentral:rRNA from 1 species